AAAACGGGUGGUAAUGCCGGAUGCUCCGACUCCUCGCAUGGGGUGUCGGGAAAGAUUUCAUCGGUAUGGGAUGGGGUCGCGUCCUAUCAGGUAGUCGGCGGGGUAACGGCCCACCGAGCCUACGACGGGUAGCCGGCCUGAGAGGGCGACCGGCCACAUUGGGACUGAGAUACGGCCCAGACUCCUACGGGAGGCAGCAGUGGGGAAUAUUGCACAAUGGGCGCAAGCCUGAUGCAGCGACGCCGCGUGCGGGAUGACGGCCUUCGGGUUGUAAACCGCUUUUGAUCGGGAGCAAGCCUUCGGGUGAGUGUACCUUUCGAAUAAGCACCGGCUAACUACGUGCCAGCAGCCGCGGUAAUACGUAGGGUGCAAGCGUUAUCCGGAAUUAUUGGGCGUAAAGGGCUCGUAGGCGGUUCGUCGCGUCCGGUGUGAAAGUCCAUCGCUUAACGGUGGAUCUGCGCCGGGUACGGGCGGGCUGGAGUGCGGUAGGGGAGACUGGAAUUCCCGGUGUAACGGUGGAAUGUGUAGAUAUCGG
rnacentral:rRNA from 1 species